UUUCGCACCUCACCUCUUCAAUACUCACUGAGCUGUUUCUCCUUCCCUCUCUUCUUUCUUCUCCUUUCUCCUUCUUUCCCGUUCUUUCCCUUGCUCUCUUUUCUGAGGGACACAGGGAGACUGAGCGAGAGAGUGAGAGAUCGUGAGAUUGGGAGAAAUAGAAAGAGAACCGAGAGACCAAACCACUCCCUUUCUUCUUAUUUCCUCCUUUUUCCUUCUUGUUCUUUCUUCUCCUUUCUCUUUUUUCUUCUUAUUUAUUCCUUUUCCCUUCCUCUUCACCGAACCCAGACGGAGGUCGAGAGGGAGAAUAGGGGAGAUACAGAGAGAGAGACCUGGAGAGAGUGAAACGGAGGGAGAUCGCCGAGAGAGAGAGAGAGAGAACCCGGGUGAGACCUAACGAACCCAGACCCACGUCCGUGGGUCAGCACUGAUGGCUGACCGGAAGCCCGAUAUUCGGUGGGUCGAUGGCUAGCUGACGGCGUCGUCCAGCAGAGCAAGGGCCGUGAAACCCGUGAUCCGUAAGUGCAAAACCCGAUCGACCCAUCUCAAACCCGAAGAAGACCCGAUCAAUGGUGGUCAACGCCGGUGAUUUCUGGUGUCCUGGGAAUCGAUUUCCGGCAAUUUGGAGGCGCGAUAUUGGCGACUUCCAGUGACGAUUAUCCGGUGAGGCAGGGGUGCGAUUUUCCAGUGGUUUUUCCUUAGCUUCAAAGAUAACGAGUUGAGAAACUACAGAUAUAACUGGUUUGUCACCGUAUCGAAUCAGAUCAGGAAGUCUUGUUUCUAGAGAAUCUGAGAAGAUUUAAUUCUUCAAUUGGCUUCUCUGACUUUUGGUAAAUCCCCUUUAUAAUCUUUGAUUUUUCAUUCUUUUUCAGGUAUGAUUGUUGUCGGAUCUGCGAACUCUUGAUGUGUAUUUUAGGGGUGGUUGUAUGUACAAAUCAGGGUUUUGUUUGUGGGUAGGGUGGUGUAGUUUGAUUCAGUUUUUAAACUUUGUACCGAUUAGGGUUUCGGGGUUUGGGGCUAUUUUGAUGGGUGUUGCAGAGAGGUGGCCAUGGUGGUUUGGGUUUGGACAAAGAAAAAGAACGGAUGGCCAUGGUGGUCUUGGUUUGGACGAAGAAGAAUAAAGGACGAAGAAAAGAAAAGAAUAAAGAAGAAGAAAUGAGUGAGGCUGCGUGGGACGAUGAAGAAGAAGAAAGAAUUAAGAAGAAAAAAAAGAAUGAAGAAGAAGAAGAAGAAGAAGAGCGGAUGAAGAAGAGAUUAUUAUUUUUUUUUUCUUUUAUGAUUAUAAUAAUACUUGGGAAUGCUACGGUGCAAUGCAAUGCAUUAGGUUACACUUUAGCAUUCCUAAGGUUUAAGGAAAAUAUAGAGUAUAUGUUGUAGGUGAUUUUUUGUGAUUUUCUUGACAUUUUUCUUAAAUUUAAGAAAUAAAACCUCUUAUAGAGUA